AUGUGUGGCUAUCCAUUGCAUGCUUUGAUUGGGUUUUCUGGCUGGGAAGGAAUUGUGGGUUUGAGAGCCCCCAACUAUUUUGAAGUUGAAAAUGUCGAAGCAAAGAACCUAAAAUUCCUAAGAAAAUCCAGGUGCCUAAAAUCCAUGACUGUUGGGUCUGUAUUUUUUCUGAAUGAUUAUGUCAUAGAAACAGAGCAAUGCAAACUUUUCUUUGGAAUUCCAUACGAAAAUGUGAUAUUCCAAGUUCAAAAAAAAAUGAACCAUUUAAGAGCUAUAAGAAAAUCAUCUAUGAAUAGUGACAUUGGGCACUAUUCAAUGUUGAUUUUUGUUUUUUUACCUUGUAUAAACAAAUUUGUGUACUUAGAAUUUCACCAAAUUUGUGUACUUAUAAACAAAUUUGGGGGAGUUCAGUUCACACUCCGCCAACAACUUAUAUUUUGGAACGGAGGGAGUAGAAUAAACCCAGUCGCCACCCUCCAGAAGGAUCUUGAUUGGUGCGGAGGUGUUUCUUCAUGGAACAUAGUUUUUUUUCCCCAUCGGCCUGACUCCAACGACACAGCUUAUUCUUUCGAGCCUCGCAAAGGUCCUUUUGGUCUUGUGAUGCUACCUAUCUAG
rnacentral:rRNA from 1 species